rnacentral:lncRNA from 1 species
GAAAAACAAGACUGAAAAAUCAAAAGAUUGCCAAUAAUUGGGCGACCAAAAUAACUUUUGAGAUUUGUCGUCAAGUUGAACCAUCUUUAUUUAUUAUAACGUUUUUUUUUUGUACGUAUAGCCGGGAAGAUCUAAAACAAAUGAUGCUUAGCCUUAUCGCAUUUUUGCGCCUGUCCGCAGCCUUUGGCCUCUGUUAACCUUGUAUGCUCUUUGAAUUUAGUUCAUUUAUAUAUUUUGGAUUUUAGUAUGACGUCCAUUAUCACCGAACUAGAAUUUCCUCGCUGUAUUGAAAACCCAU